ACGACCAGUUCCAGAAAAAGGAAGAAAGCCUCACUCCUCAAGCCCCCUUUGGCCUGAAGAGAAGCCAGACACCAGGAAGUGGCCUUCUCAGGGAAGCAGAGGCAGCCCCAUCGAUGGCCUCUGCCUGUACUCCCAAGACUGCAAAAGUGGCAAGUCGGGUCCAACGCUGGCAUUCAGCCCAGCCCAGAGCACCUCGCACAUCACCUUGCACAUAGCAGGUACUCCGUCAAGGCCUCGGGAUCCUGAAGACUCUGGAAUUUCUUCUCUCAAGAUCUCAGAACAUGGGAGGAGAAUCUCCCCCUGUGAGAUGAUGGACAUCAAUAACUGUCAUGGAGCACCUUGGCUAAGCACUUCCCAUUCCAUAGAGGAGGGGACUGAGGCUCAGAGAAGCUAAAUAACUUGCCCUAAGUCACAGAGUUCAUGCAAACAAGAACUGGGGUUCAAAAUCAGGUCUUGGGGCGCCUGGGUGGCUCAGUCGGUUAGGCCUCUGCCUUCCAUUCAGGUCACCAUCCCAGGGUCCUGGGAUUGAGUCCCGCAUCGGGCUCCCUGUUCAGCCGGGAGCCUGCUUCUCCCUCUGCCUGCCACUCCCCCUG
rnacentral:lncRNA from 1 species